CGUGUAGGCGGCGGAUUAAGCCUGGGGUGAAAGGUUACAGCUCAACUGUAAGAUUGCCUCUGGAACUGGUCUGCUAGAGGGUGAGAGAGGAAAGUGGAAUUCCUAGUGUAGCGGUGGAAUGCGUAGAUAUUAGGAGGAACACCAGUGGCGAAGGCGGCUUUCUGGCUCAUACCUGACGCUGAGGCGCGAAAGCGUGGGAGCAAACA
rnacentral:rRNA from 1 species